rnacentral:rRNA from 1 species
CGUGUAGGCGGACUCGCAAGUCGGUUGUGAAAUCCCUGGGCUUAACCUAGGAACUGCAUCCGAAACUGCUUGUCUUGAGUAAUGGAGAGGGUGGCGGAAUUCCCGGUGUAGAGGUGAAAUUCGUAGAUAUCGGGAGGAACAUCAGUGGCGAAGGCGGCCACCUGGACAUUUACUGACGCUGAGACGCGAAAGCGUGGGGAGCAAACAGGAUUAGAUACCCGAGUAGUCC